GUAGUACUCCCUCCAUCCGAAAAUACUUGUCGGUGAAAUGGAUGUAUCUAGACAUAUUUUAGUUCUAGAUAUAUUAAUUUUUAUUCAUUUCUCCGACAAGUAUUUCCGGACGGAGGGAGUAUUUC
rfam:Triticum urartu cultivar G1812 contig415123, whole genome shotgun sequence.